AUUGAACGCUGGCGGCAUGCCUUACACAUGCAAGUCGAACGCGAAAGGGGGGCAACUCCUGAGUAGAGUGGCGCACGGGUGAGUAAUGCAUCGGAACGUGUCCUGUAGCGGGGGAUCACCUAGCGAAAGCUAGGCUAAUACCGCAUACGUCCUACGGGAGAAAGUGGGGGAUCGUAAGACCUCACACUAUAGGAGCGGCCGAUGCCGGAUUAGCUAGUUGGUGGGGUAAAAGCCUACCAAGGCGACGAUCCGUAGCUGGUCUGAGAGGAUGAGCAGCCACACUGGGACUGAGACACGGCCCAGACUCCUACGGGAGGCAGCAGUGGGGAAUUUUGGACAAUGGGGGAAACCCUGAUCCAGCCAUGCCGCGUGAGUGAAGAAGGCCUUCGGGUUGUAAAGCUCUUUCGGCCGGGACGAAAUCGCACGCGUGAAUAUCGCGUGUGGGUGACGGUACCGGAAGAAGAAGGACCGGCUAACUACGUGCCAGCAGCCGCCGUAA
rnacentral:rRNA from 1 species